rnacentral:rRNA from 1 species
CUCGAUGGAUAACAGGUUGAAAUUCCUGUACUGCUUAUGGACAGAACUGUGGGGACGCAGAAGGAGAGCACGAGCCGGAAAUGGAAAAGCCGGUACAAGCGUAUAGCAGUCAUGCAGGCAAAACCGCAUGAAAAAUGUAAAGCGUUAUGUGGAUCGAACAUUAGUAGAGAAGCGUGUGAGCCAGCUGCCAAGAAAAGCCGCUAUUGUUUCAUAAGUACCCGUACCGUAAACCGACACAGGUGGAUGAGGAGAGAAUCCUAAGGCCGGCGGGAGAAGUGUUGUUAAGGAACUCGGCAAAAUGACUCCGUAACUUCGGGAGAAGGAGUGCCACAGAGAUGUGGCCGCAGAGAAAUGGCCCAAGCAACUGUUUAGCAAAAACACAGGUCUAUGCAAAACCGAAAGGUGAGGUAUAUGGGCUGACGCCUGCCCGGUGCUGGAAGGUUAAGAGGAGAGGUUAGAGCAAUCGAAGCUUUGAAUUUAAGCCCCAGUAAACGGCGGCCGUAACAAUAACGGUCCUAAGGUAGCGAAAUUCCUUGUCGGGUAAGUUCCGACCCGCACGAAAGGCGUAAUGAUUUGGGCACUGUCUCAACAACACACCCGGUGAAAUUGAAAUACCAGUGAAGAUGCUGGUUACCUGCGCCAGGACGGAAAGACCCCAUGGAGCUUUACUCCAGUUUGAUACUGGGAUUCGGUACUGUCUGUACAGGAUAGGUGGGAGGCUAGGAAAUGGUGACGCCAGUUGCCAUGGAGCCAACCUUGGGAUACCACCCUUACAGUACUGGGUUUCUAACCUGCAGCCGUAACCCGGCUGGGGGACAAUGUCUGACGGGGAGUUUGACUGGGGCGGUCGCCUCCGAAAGAGUAUCGGAGGCGCUCAAAGGUUCCCUCAGAACGGUUGGAAACCGUUCGAAGAGUGCAAAGGCAGAAGGGAGCUUGACUGCGACACCGACGGGUGGAGCAGAUACGAAAGUAGGACUUAGUGAUCCGGUGGUAUAAAGUGGGAUUGCCAUCGCUCAACGGAUAAAAGCUACCCUGGGGAUAACAGGCUUAUCACUCCCAAGAGUUCACAUCGACGGAGUGGUUUGGCACCUCGAUGUCGGCUCAUCGCAUCCUGGAGCUGUAGCAGGUUCCAAGGGUUGGGCUGUUCGCCCAUUAAAGCGGUACGCGAGCUGGGUUCAGAACGUCGUGAGACAGUUCGGUCCCUAUCCGGCGUGGGCGUAGGAUAUUUGAGAGGAGCUGUCCUUAGUACGAGAGGACCGGGAUGGACAAACCUCUGGUGUAUUUGUUGUUUUACCAAAGGCAUGGCAGAGUAGCCAAGUUUGGCAGGGAUAAACGCUGAAGGCAUCUAAGCGUGAAGCCCCCCUCAAGAUAAGAUAUCCCAUCUUCGGAGUAAGACCCCUUGAAGACUACAAGGUUGAUAGGCUUCAGGUGUAAGUGUGGUAACGCACUCAGCUGAGAAGUACUAAUAGGUCGAGGACUUAUCAA